rnacentral:rRNA from 1 species
UGGGGAAUAUUGGACAAUGGGCGAAAGCCUGAUGCAGCCAUGCCGCGUGUAUGAAGAAGGCCUUCGGGUUGUAAAGUACUUUCAGCGGGGAGGAAGGCGAUAAGGUUAAUAACCUUGUCGAUUGACGUUACCCGCAGAAGAAGCACCGGCUAACUCCGUGCCAGCAGCCGCGGUAAUACGGAGGGUGCAAGCGUUAAUCGGAAUUACUGGGCGUAAAGCGCACGCAGGCGGUCUGUCAAGUCGGAUGUGAAAUCCCCGGGCUCAACCUGGGAACUGCAUUCGAAACUGGCAGGCUAGAGUCUUGUAGAGGGGGGUAGAAUUCCAGGUGUAGCGGUGAAAUGCGUAGAGAUCUGGAGGAAUACCGGUGGCGAAGGCGGCCCCCUGGACAAAGACUGACGCUCAGGUGCGAAAGCGUGGGGAGCAAACA